GUGGGGAAUCUUCCGCAAUGGACGAAAGUCUGACGGAGCAACGCCACGUGAGUGAUGAAGGUCUUCGGAUUGUAAAGCUCUGUUAAUCGGGACGAAAGAGCCUAGUGUGAAUAAUGCUAGGAAGUGACGGUACCGGAAUAGAAAGCCACGGCUAACUACGUGCCAGCAGCCGCGGUAAUACGUAGGUGGCAAGCGUUGUCCGGAAUUAUUGGGCGUAAAGCGCGCGCAGGCGGAUCUGCCAGUCUGUCUUAAAAGUUCGGGGCUUAACCCCGUGAUGGGAUGGAAACUACAGAUCUAGAGUAUCGGAGAGGAAAGUGGAAUUCCUAGUGUAGCGGUGAAAUGCGUAGAUAUUAGGAAGAACACCAGUGGCGAAGGCGACUUUCUGGACGAAAACUGACGCUGAGGCGCGAAAGCCAGGGGAGCGAACGGGAUUAGAUACCCUGGUAGUCC
rnacentral:rRNA from 1 species